GAGGCCAGGGCAGGUGUCAGAGCAAUUUUGUCCUGUUCGCUAUGGCACCACAGUCUGCUGGGUGCCAUACUAAAUAAAGUCAGCCUGGAAUAGCCCCCAGAUCUAGCACAGCCUCUGUCUGUUAUAUAUCCAGUCAUUAUAUGACCUCAUUGCCUGCACUGCAGUUUUCCUACAGCACAAGGGAAGGAGAGGGGAGACCCAGAGCUCAGGGAGGGGGCAUGGGGAUAGAGGGCAGUCAUCGGGACAUUGCAGUAGUCUUGCAUUGCUGUUUGGUCCAAAAUUAAUUGUGCCUAAAAGCAUAAUUCAAAUAGGGCUGUGUUUCCUUCAGAGAGCUGGGGGAGAGCUUACGUAGGAGUGGAAGUAGCUGGUGGUAGACAUAGGAAAGAAGGUGCUAAGACGGGGCUGGCCGGGAAGGGCUUGUGUCUGUCACCUUGUCAUCUUCCUCUAGAUAAUUUUCACCUUAUAUGCCAUCUACUAGAGAACAGGUAGUAGAAAGAAUGGGUGAAAAUGUGAGCUUUGAGUCAGAUCUGUGUGAUUCAUAACAAUAGAUAUUAGCUAUUAUUAUUAGAAAUAGCUUCUUACAUUGCCCAGCAUAAGCAUUUGAUGUGAUGUUUGACUGUAUAAUGGGGAGUCAGAGGGUUUAGGGUCCAGGGAUAUGUGCUCCAUAAACCCAUGUACUUAAGGCACCACUUCAUCUCCCACGGCUUUUCCGCACUUACACUUGCUAUGUAAGCUCCUCAAGAACUACAUCCGCAUUUCCCCAUCUUCAGCUGCAUUCGUUCCUGUGCAUCCAGGGAAAUGGCAUUUGGACAGAUUACUGAGGGCCCUUAGGGGGCAGAUCCCGAGGCCAUUCUUUGCCUACAUUACUGCACCUCGAUGCUGCUCCUUCCUUCUUCAAGGUCUAGUCUGCCCAGCUCCUGUGGCUCCGGGCUCCUGUUCCCCAUCUAUCCAUUUUCCCACUCAUUUCCUCUCCUUCCUGGGGCCCUCAUCUUUUCACUUUUGAAAUCUCAUUUUCCCCAAGGUUCUGCCCUCUCUUUCCCCUUUUCUUUCUAUACAAUUGCUGGGUGGUCCCAGCUGAUUUCAUGCCUGUGGCUCCCACGGCUCGUAGGAUCAGCUCCUGCUCUGAGCCUCAGAUCCCCUCAGCCACGUGUCUCUAAGGAAGGGUGGGGGCACCACCCUGAAUGACCCUGCCCCCUGGGCCACAACUGAAUGGCCCAGCAAUGGGCACCCACGAAAGCCAGGCCAAUCUCAGGUCUUCUGAGGACGACUUUCCUUUUCACCAAGACUCAGGAAGGGAGUGAGGCUUUCUGUGGGAGUGAAACCCACAGAGGGUCAUCUCGGGAGAUGUCGCUGGCCGUGUUUCCUUCCUCCUGGAGGAAGCCGUGUCCGAGGAGAGAUACUAGGGCUCAUGGAGGAGAAAGGAGGGAGAGGCCAGGGCACAUUCCAUCGCCUGGCCCCAGUGUUCCCAGGGCUGAACAACAUCCUUGUCUUCCCCACGGACUGCCUUCUAAUUAUAGGUGAUACCCUCGUAUUCUUUCAAAAUAUGCCCCCUUUUGCCUAAAUGUGUUGUAGGGAGGUUUCUGACACCUGCCACUGAGUGAGGUAGGUUCUAAGCACACAGAGGUCCACCUACGGAGUCAGGAGGAUUGGAUUUGCGUCCAACGCUGGCACUCACUGGCCAGAGUCAUUGGGCAAGCCCCACACCCUGAGCCUCAGUUUCCCCAUUUAUGUAAUGGGAGCAGUAAAAUCUACAUGCCUGGCAUGUACGGCCCUAAGGGGAUUAACUGAUCAUAUAUUCAAGUACCACUCAUAUCAUAAAACACCUCAGAAGUGUGAAGUGUAAGAAGUGCAUGAUUUAUUUGAAAACUUUUAGAAGCCAUUUGUAUUUUCAGUGUGACUCUCCAUUUGGGGGCGUGAGCAUCCCAGCAGCUCGGUUGCAGCUGGCUGUGGACCCAGGGCAGGAAGGUGGGUGCUGACUGCCUUGCCCCCACAGGUGGAGUGUUCAUGCCCAGUGGGGUCGGGCCUGGCAGCAUCUGCAGGGAAGGGUCAGAAGCCAGGGAGACGGCAAGUCCCAUAGCUACCUGCUUUGGGAUUGUAUUCAGGUGUCCACGAGGCAGUAGCCAGUCUAAGGGGCCAGGAGCAAGACCCACGGGAAACAGUGGAAAGAUGGAACACCUCAAUCCGGGAUGGGUCAGAAGGGACCUGAGGACCAUCUGUUGCUCUUAGCAUGCACACCUGCUGUUUCAUUCUGGACUUGGGGUUGAGAAAGCAGAAUUCUAGUCUCUACUUUACUUCUAACUUACUGGACAAGACAGGUCAUUUUUCUUCUGAGUCUCAGUUUCCCCAUUUCUUAAAUUGGGAAUGGAGUGGGACGAGAGGGGCAGCCACAGUCACACCUCAUAUCUGUAACACCUUCACAGUUCAUGCACAUUGUCACUUUUCCUCCUCAUAAAAUCAAAAGACACAUAUUACUAAUCCCAUUUCAUAGAUGGCUAGUAAAGGUCAGAGAUGGCACUUGCCCUGAGGUCUCUUUCCAUGCUAAGAUCCUUCCAAUAGUAAAGCCCUGUGGUUCUCCUACCACCGUUUAAUAGAGUAUUCUUGAACCCCUACUGUGUGCAGGGAGCAGGGGUACAAAGGGGCUUCAACAUGGUGUAGAGUCAUUUGUCUGCCUGUCCCACCUUUCCCACUAGCUUGUCAUCUCCUUGAGAGCAACCCAGGCCAGCCUCUUCACUGCGUCCCUCAAACCAGAACUGUGCCUCAUCCUCUGGAUAAACAACAAACAAAGAUACAAUAACAAGCCACAUGCAACAAGUAUGUGUUGAGAAUCCAGCCUGGAGUCAGAACUUGGCUUGGGCUGUGGAGAAGGCUUCUUGGGCUCUUCGGUUUACUGCGAGAACACUGUUUUUUUUCCCCCCUUCUUAGCUCCAGAGACACUUUCAGCCUUGUGAGGUGCAAUCAUCGAUCAACAUUUACUCUCCAGAUACUGCCCGGUGCCAGACCCAACAGGAUGCACUUUAUCAACCUCUUAAUUUAGUUUAUGUUUCAGGCAGGAGUCAUACAAGGAAUCUAUUAAAUUCCUGCUACUGCUUCUUUUUGGAAAAACAACUUUCAAUCACAAACGUAGAAAGGCCUGUUCAGGAGACCAAAAGAUCGGUGAGAACAAUGCUUGAUGAAAACAGAAGUAGUCACAGGGAAUGGGGCUCUGUCCAAGCCUUGUGGCUUAGAGACAGACAGCACCUGGUGAUGAGACACACGUGGGUUCUGGAAUCCAGCGGCCAGCAUUUGAAUCCUGACCUUCUCGCUCAUUAAAACUCACGCCGACACUUAACCUCCACUUCUUCCGUAACUGGAGCUGAGAGUAUUCCCAGAGAAAUUCCCACUAGUGCCCUUGGCCACAGACACACGUCGAGAUGACUGUGAGGGCCGCCCCCACGGGGACUGUGACGGCCACUAGCCAGAAAUGCGCAUUAAUAAGGAAAGAACUAAAGAGCUGAUAAAAUAUGGGAUCUGGAAAUGAAGGGAAAGUCCACAUCAUUAGGAAGAAUGAGCUUCCCGGAAGGAUUUUAGAAUUUGACGUUUAGCUGAAAAAGCAGCUGAAUGUGAUGCUGAUCAAUUCAAAAUACAACCUGGUAAGAGGCCCUGGCCAGGAGAGGGGCCCAAAGAGUGGGUGCUGGCAGCGCAGAGCCUUAUGGGCUGGGCUGGGAGCCGUAUGUGAAAUCUUGGUGCUGGGGAGAUGCUUGGGAUUCUGUUCCUACAUCUUAAGACUAAAGGAGCUGAAGAAGGAGAGACCAGAGAUGGGGUCUCCAUCAGAGAUGAUCAUGGUUGUCCCACCUUCCCUGCCACCAGGGACAGUCUGCAGGCAGAGGACGCCGACCCUCACUGGGAUCUUCCUUUAUUUAUUUAGCUUGAGAACUAAAGUUUUUGAAAAAUCAAGAAGCCAUGUAGUAGCACGAGCGAGACGGAGGGAGGAAGAAAAAAGGAGAAGCGAGAACUUGCCGGUACCUGCAGGCGAGGAAUGAUCCAUCGAGGCUGGAUGGCUGUUUGCAGGGUCUUCCUGCUCCUCUGCCUCCCAGGCCAUUUUGCUGUGAGCAUCCCCAGAAUCUUAAACGGCACGGUGGGAGGGACUCUGGGGAUGAAGUGCCGGUACAGUGCGGGAGAAGAGGGCCACAGAAAGUUCUGGUGCCGAGGGCCCAACUGGAAAGACUGUGUCCGAGUCAUUGAAACGACACAGAGAGCUGGACAGAAGGUGAGGCACGGCCGCUUGACCCUCCAAGACAGCCCCAGAGAGCACUUCUUCCUCGUGAUCAUGGAGGACCUGGAGGAGGGAGACGCAGACACGUACUGGUGUGGGGUGAACAGGGGCACAGGAGUCCCCCAGGCCCCAGCGGCAGUGACUGUUUUUCCAGGGCUGGAAACUUUCCUUCAGUGUCAGCCCUCCGUCUGGAGGAUCUGGAGGGGUCAGUGACAUGGCCUGAUGUUCAAGAACAGAAGCAUUUCUGUUUCCAAACUUCGUGGGUAAAAAUGAAGGCACCCACCGGGGCACACUUGAAGCAGUUCUUCAAGCUACCAACAGAUGGCAAUAGCGGUCAAUCGCAGAACUUCAUUACUGACAUUUUAAAGGACUUCUCUCUUCUGGCAGGAUUGCUUUUGCUACUGGGUCCCUCCUGGCUGAUUUAAAUAUCCCCCGUCUACAGCAAGUGUUAGAAGUAGACCCAUUGAAUCCUGAUGGCUUUUCCAAGCUGAGUCCAAACUGGUCCGUGGCCCCAGCCCAAUACCAUUCAUCAGCCUGAGCGAGCCCAUUAGGAAUUACCUUGGCUCUUGGGGCCAACCAGACAUGCACUCAACAUUCUGGGGGCCAGAGUCGAAGGUGCAACCAGGGAUCUGGACCCCAAUAGGCAGCUCAGACCGGAGUAAGUCAAGGCCCUAAAGACCUGUGCCCAGGAAAGAGGACAGAACCAGGAUGAAUGACAAGGAUGCAUCCGAUUCCAGCCCAAGGCUUCAGCUUUAUUGAGAAGCAGAAGCCACACCACGUGGCUCUUCUGAAUUUCUUAUAUUGUUGGAAAAUCCAAUCCGGAGCAAUUUCCCUGCAUGUUAGACAAGAUCUCAACCCGGAAAAGUGUUCUUGACUCUGAUUGAGGAAGAAUUCACAAGUAAAUUGAGCAAGGACAAGCCCCCAGUAGGCAGAAGGACACACCCAGGGAGGGAAUGUGGGUAUACAACCCAGAUGGUCUGCCUCGGGAAUGUGAUGGUGCCAAGAGGUGUGACUUUCAGUAUGCUAGUGAGCGUGUAAUGCAUUUGGAGGUGAAACCAGGGUCAGCUUCUUCUCCUGGCUGGAACCAGCCAGUUUUGGCAAGUCUGGUGUCUAUACCUUUUCCCCCUACAUCCCUGGAGAAGAGUUUACAAGGAAUGUUUAGAAUAUAACAAGCAUCUAGCCAAAUGAAAACACUGGCCAAAGUGCCCAGCCCCCUCCCUGCCCCUGUCUGGCUACCUACUGUAGCACUUACUCCCUGGAAGAGGUAGAGACACCCAGUGCCCCCGAUGCCCCCUACUGGACAUGUCCAGCUAGCUUGGAACUUGGUGUGGUGACAACUGCCAGUUUCCUCUUACCGCCCACGGACGCAGGAAGCAGCUCUUUGAAGGACUAUGAUCAAUGUUACGAAAGGUCUGAGGAAAGGCAGCUGUGGGGAUGAGAAACAAGGAGACGGAGGUGCAGAGGCCAAGAGAGACGAGCAGAGAUGGGGCAGGGGGUGACGGGGAAGGUCUGUCCUGCGUGUGCUCAGAGAGGUCUGAGUUUGGCCCUGAACUACCAUCCCCUGAACAGCCUAAAAAUUAGUCUUAAACAUUAUCUCUUAGUGGAACUAUCCACCCAAAAACAGGGCUGUAUUGACAGAAAUGUUUAUUCUGUGUAUUUAUACAUGUGUUUUACCCCUAUUAAAACACCAAUCAAUUAGAAUUUUAAUCCAUAAUCCAAUAAUCGUUUCUCUGCCCAAUUAAUUAUAUACUUUACGGCCAUCUAUGUAUCCAAAAGCUUAUUUGUGAACUUCACGAAUUUAAAAUACACCGUAAUUUUUGCAACCCUACUAUGGCGCCCCUCUUUUGUUAAGAUGUUGAGAGCUUCAAACAAUAAAAGUGUCCCAGGCCCUCUGGACCUCAAAUGAUUCCAGCCCAAGGGCAGGCAGUAACAUUGGGCUUUGACUUUAUCUUUGCAUAAUUAUUUUUUCCCUUGCAAAAGAGAGGCCCAGGCCCCUCUGUGGAUUGUCCCCACGCUGUUCGGUGCUCGGCUCGCUGACCUCUUAGACUUUUCCCUCUACGCUUUUCUAUAGCAGUGUAACUCCAGGGGGAAAAUUAUGGGGCAAAAUACCUUUGGAACCGAUAUCAGUCAAAGGGAAAAACCCAUU